rnacentral:rRNA from 1 species
AUUGAACGCUGGCGGCAGGCCUAACACAUGCAAGUCGAACGAGUGGCGGACGGGUGAGUAAUGUCUGGGAAACUGCCUGAUGGAGGGGGAUAACUACUGGAAACGGUAGCUAAUACCGCAUACCAUCAGAUGUGCCCAGAUGGGAUUAGCUAGUUGGUGGGGUAACGGCUCACCAAGGCGACGAUCACUAGCUGGUCUGGGAGGAGGACCAGCCAAACUGUAACUGAGACACGGUCCAGGCUCCUCCGGGAGGCAACAGUGGGGAAUAUUGCACAAUGGGCGCAAGCCUGAUGCAGACAUGCCGGGUGUAUGACGAAGGCCUUCGGGUUGUAAACUACUUUCAGCGGGGAGGCGUUACCCGCAGAAGAAGCACCGGCUAACUCCGUGCCAGCAGCCGCGGUAAUUC